rnacentral:rRNA from 1 species
GAUGAACGCUGGCGGCGUGCCUAAUACAUGCAAGUCGAGCGAACAGACGAGGAGCUUGCUCCUCUGACGUUAGCGGCGGACGGGUGAGUAACACGUGGAUAACCUACCUAUAAGACUGGGAUAACUUCGGGAAACCGGAGCUAAUACCGGAUAAUAUAUUGAACCGCAUGGUUCAAUAGUGAAAGACGGUUUUGCUGUCACUUAUAGAUGGAUCCGCGCCGCAUUAGCUAGUUGGUAAGGUAACGGCUUACCAAGGCAACGAUGCGUAGCCGACCUGAGAGGGUGAUCGGCCACACUGGAACUGUGACACGGUCCAGACUCCUACGGGAGGCAGCAGUAGGGAAUCUUCCGCAAUGGGCGAAAGCCUGACGGAGCAACGCCGCGUGAGUGAUGAAGGUCUUCGGAUCGUAAAACUCUGUUAUUAGGGAUGAACAAAUGUGUAAGUAACUAUGCACGUCUUGACGGUACCUAAUCAGAAAGCCACGGCUAACUACGUG